UAGAACCCUUCCUCUCCCCUCCUCCCUUCCUCCGCCCCCCUCUUUGAUAAAUCCAAAUUCGGGUUUCCAUUUGAUGCGUAAUUGUGUUCGUAGUACAUGUUUUUAGUUGAUUACAGGCCUCACCAUGAAAGCUUUGAGACUUCUUCAAAUACUUACUACUCGCUCUUCAAGAACCUCUCAUCUCAACCCCACCUUCCUGUUUCGAUUCUACGCAUCCCAACCCCUACAAGAAAACCCAGUACUCGAAAUCGAAGAAAGUCGCACAACCGACAACAAUGGCUUCGGCUUCGACAGCAGUCAUUACGAAUUACCAGACACGAAUCUGGGUUUAGGAUCGAAUGAGGCCGAGACACCUGCCGGUAAUAGAGAAUCCACUUGGGAUGAAAAGUAUCGGCGAAAAGCUAACAGAAGUAUAUUCGGAGAAGAGCAUGAAAAAUUGGUUAAGGACAAGAAAAGCAAGAAGAAGAGUAGGAGUGAAAGGAUGAUGGAGCAGGAAGAGAAAAGGCGUCGGACUGCGAUUCUUUCUAAGGCUUUGCUCGAAGCUGCAGUGGCUGCAACCGACGAUGAUGAAGAGGAAGAUGCUAAUGAGGUGGUGAAGGUGGAAGAUCAGUUGUCUUUAUCAGUUGGGAUAAUUGGAGCUCCUAAUGCUGGAAAAUCUGCUCUCACUAAUUUCAUGGUUGGGACGAAGGUUGCUGCUGUUUCACGGAAGACGAACACAACUACGCAUGAAGUAUUAGGAGUAAUGACGCAAGGAAAAACACAAAUAUGUUUCUUUGACACCCCGGGUCUUAUUAUGAGAAGUAAUGGACUUCCAAAAUCUGACAUUAAAGUUCGAGUUGAAAGUGCAUGGAGUUCAGUGAAUCUUUAUGACAUGCUCGUUGUUAUAUUUGAUGUUCAUAGACAUCUUACCAGGCCUGAUAAAAGAGUGGUUAAACUUAUUAAACAAAUGGGUUCACAAGUCAAUCCAAAACAAAAACGCAUAUUAUGCAUGAAUAAAGUAGACUUGGUAGAGAAAAAGAAAGAUCUGUUGAAGGUUGCUGAGCAGUUCAAUGAUCUUCCUGGAUAUGAAAGGUAUUUCAUGAUUUCUGGGCUAAAGGGUUCAGGAGUCAAAGAUCUUACGCAAUAUUUGAUGGAACAGGCAGUUAAAAGACCAUGGGAUGAAGAUCCUCUCAUCAUGACUGAAGAUGUCAUGAAGAACAUAUCACUAGAAGUUGUUAGGGAAAAGUUUCUAGACCAUGUGCAUCAGGAGAUUCCAUAUGAUGUUGAACAUAGAUUAAUAGAUUGGAAGGAAUUGCGCGAUGGUUCUGUAAGGAUUGAACAGCAUCUUAUCACUAACAAAGUCAGCCAGCGUAAAAUUAUAGUCGGAAAGAAUGGUUCUAAAAUAGGGAGAAUAGGUGUUGAAGCCAACGAAGAGCUGAGAUCCAUAUUUAAACGGAAUGUCCAUCUCAUCCUUUUGGUUAGACUCAAAUGACGGAAUCCCGAACAAUAACGAGUCACUUGUCAACCAUACACUCUCUUUCUACCAGCACCUAGGCCUGCGGUUAUUCAGCUAAAUGACUUUCUGCCAAGUGUUUUUCAAAUCCACGACUUUCUGACAAGUUUCUAGCAUUUCUUUGUAUAGAAGGGCGAUUGAUCUAUUAAGCAGUGAUAUUCUCAAACCUAUCGAAAGAUGAUUGAUUCAAAAAGAACUUGACAGAAGGUCAUUUAUGUAACUGCUCCCUUCUACUUGAAGAUUUAAGAACAAAAGGCCAAGCUGUUUCUAUUUGGAACUCUUGCAGGAUUGACAUUUUUGGGUGCCAAGAUCUGUUGGAUUAGAUGAAUCUACCUAUUCAGAAAGGAAUAGUUUCAUGGUACCCCCUUUCCGUUUUUACGUUUUCUUUUGCACCUCCAAGUCUUAGAAAAAGACCAUCAACGAUAACGUGGCUUUCGUAUGUUAAAGUCCACGUACCAGAAACUAGAAAAGGUUAUGUAUGAUUGUGGAGCGGUUUGUACCAACCGGUUAUGGGGAUUUUUAAGAAAUCGGUUAUGGACCGAGUCCAUAAUAUGAUGGUAACGAACCUGCCUUUUUCUUUUCUUCUGAAUUUUCGAUCUUGCAUGUGGCAACCAUUCAUUGGGCAGGCGAAGAGAAGCGUAAGAACGAAGCAGGACCCUUGAUCACCUUUAAUCUCAAACCCACCCAUGAAUUGUGUUUGACACGUUGAUUGAACUAAGUGCAUCUCAUCUUAAUGUACAUCCAAGGGUGGAGAUCGCUUCUUAUGCUUCCCACCUUUUAACUCUUUGUUCUCACAGGAACCCAACCUUUAUUGGACAACAGACAUACUGUCUUUAUGCCUUUUUUCUGUCUGUUUUUAGUUGCUACUAUCCAUUUGC